rnacentral:rRNA from 1 species
AUUGAACGCUGGCGGCAUGCCUUACACAUGCAAGUCGAACGGUAACGCGGGGCAACCUGGCGACGAGUGGCGAACGGGUGAGUAAUGUAUCGGAACGUGCCCAGUUGUGGGGGAUAACUGCUCGAAAGAGCAGCUAAUACCGCAUACGACCUGAGGGUGAGAGCGGGGGAUCGCAAGACCUCGCGCAAUUGGAGCGGCCGAUAUCAGAUUAGGUAGUUGGUGGGGUAAAGGCUCACCAAGCCGACGAUCUGUAGCUGGUCUGAGAGGACGACCAGCCACACUGGGACUGAGACACGGCCCAGACUCCUACGGGAGGCAGCAGUGGGGAAUUUUGGACAAUGGACGCAAGUCUGAUCCAGCCAUGCCGCGUGCGGGAAGAAGGCCUUCGGGUUGUAAACCGCUUUUGUCAGGGAAGAAAAGGCUCCUUCUAAUAUAGGGGGCUCAUGACGGUACCUGAAGAAUAAGCACCGGCUAACUACGUGCCAGCCGCCGCGGUAA